rnacentral:rRNA from 1 species
CCCGGCGACCGGCGCACGGGUGAGUAACGCGUAUGCAACCUGCCCGUUUCAGCGGGAUAACCCGGAGAAAUCCGGCCUAAUACCGCAUGUGGCCGAGGGGAGGCAUCUUCUUUCGGCCAAAGGAGGCGACUCCGGAGACGGAUGGGCAUGCGUGACAUUAGCUAGUUGGCGGGGUAACGGCCCACCAAGGCGACGAUGUCUAGGGGUUCUGAGAGGAAGGUCCCCCACACUGGUACUGAGACACGGACCAGACUCCUACGGGAGGCAGCAG